CUUUCCCACCAGGAUCUUUCCAAUGCCCUCCCAAGUAACACCCUCAGAUUGCUCGCUCCACAGUGCUCUUACUUCCUUCCCUCUCUUGUCCCUCAAAACCAACAGGUCUCACUAUGGGCCUUGCCUUCCUCCUUUGGCUUGCUGGCUGAACCAGAGGCAGAAAUACCUGCAGGCUGACCGGCUGGCCUUCACCAGACUGCCUUGCUAGAUACAAUAACUUCUCAAAUGCUUACCUACAUCCUGAUGAUGCUGCUGGCGUUUUCUUCAGGUUCAAAAUCUGGACUUUGGCUGGUUCCCUGCUGAUAAAUUUACCACCAGAGAGCACGUAGAAAUUUUGGAGAAGAAUGACUGAUCACUGUCUGAGAGAUCUAAACCAUAUAAAUGAAUUAAAGACGCAGUUCUACAAUCCCUCUCCAUUUGCUUCAGCAGACAUUACAGCAGGAAGACUCCUGAGAGACUUAAAUGAAUCCUCUUACUUGUGUGCACUAGAUCUUGCUGCCUAGGAGAUGUACAACUGGCAUAUGUAAUAGUACAGCGUACCUGAACUGUGUUUAACAAUAGGAGCCCUGUGAAACAGAAAGGUAAAAUCUUGAAUUAGCAUGAUUAACAACAGGUUUUCAUAUCAAUUUUAUUUAUGAAUAAUAAUUGUGUGUAUCCCAAGUACCUCAUCAUCUUGACUACCACAACCCAUUGAAGUAAUCAUAGGUCAGAGAACAAGAAACAAAUCACAAAACCCUUUUGAAAAUGUCAUGCGAUUUUGAGACCAUCUAAUCAAAAUUAUUUAAAAGUAAAAUGUUUUGUGGCACCAAAUCAAAGUGUUGGACUGCCAGAAAAGGGAAUCCUGCUGCAUUUCACAUUCUCCCUUCAUGUCAACGUGGAAGGGCAAGCACCGUUGCUGCCUUUAUGCUGCAGUCAUCUACUCUCCCUGGAUCUUCUCUUUACCCGUGCUGCCUGAGUGAAGUGAGUAACUGAUAGAUCCAUGUCUCUGAAUCGCAGCCAACACAGUGAUCACUUACUUCAGUUGUUUAACAGAAGAGCUGUGACCACAGUAUAACUGGAAAGCGGUUGCAAGUCUUGCUUUGAUGGUCUCAGAGCACCAAGUGUCCUGCUGUGCAUACUCUUUUUCUCCUUCAAGUACCUGUAUCAGGCUAAUUAAUUACCCAGUGAGCUGUGUUGUCCCUAAUGCUUUGCUGAAUGAGUAGGGCAGCAUUCCCAACCAUUAACUUCUCUUAAAAAUUGAUAUUUGCAAUUUGACAAGACAUUUUCUUCUUGUGAUGUGUUUUGUACGCUUGUUACAGCGAAGAAGCUCCACUGAAAUGGAAUACCUCUAGUGAGAAGCUUCAGGGUUACCAACUGAGCGAUUCUGUAUGAAAAACACUUACAGGUUCUCAACAAGUUUUAAUUCUAACAGCCUUUUAAGGCUGCUCUACACAGAGAAAGUCAACAAAAGCCUACUCAAGUUGUCAUUUGAACAAUUCAAAAACAUAAUAAAUAACUAGACAAUUGGUAA